UACGUAGGGUGCAAGCGUUAAUCGGAAUUAUUGGGCGUAAAGAGCUCGUAGUCGGUUUGUCGCGUCUGCUGUGAAAUCCCGAGGCUCAACCUCGGGCCUGCAGUGGGUACGGGCAGACUAGAGUGCGGUAGGGGAGAUUGGAAUUCCUGGUGUAGCGGUGGAAUGCGCAGAUAUCAGGAGGAACACCGAUGGCGAAGGCAGAUCUCUGGGCCGUAACUGACGCUGAGGAGCGAAAGCGUGGGGAGCGAACAGG
rnacentral:rRNA from 1 species